GACGAACGCUGGCGGCGUGCCUAAUACAUGCAAGUAGAACGCUGAAGAGGGGAGCUUGCUCUUCUUGGAUGAGUUGCGAACGGGUGAGUAACGCGUAGGUAACCUGCCUUGUAGCGGGGGAUAACUAUUGGAAACGAUAGCUAAUACCGCAUAACAAUGGAUGACACAUGUCAUUUAUUUGAAAGGGGCAAUUGCUCCACUACAAGAUGGACCUGCGUUGUAUUAGCUAGUAGGUGAGGUAAUGGCUCACCUAGGCGACGAUACAUAGCCGACCUGAGAGGGUGAUCGGCCACACUGGGACUGAGACACGGCCCAGACUCCUACGGGAGGCAGCAGUAGGGAAUCUUCGGCAAUGGGGGCAACCCUGACCGAGCAACGCCGCGUGAGUGAAGAAGGUUUUCGGAUCGUAAAGCUCUGUUGUAAGUCAAGAACGGGUGUGAGAGUGGAAAGUUCACACUGUGACGGUAGCUUACCAGAAAGGGACGGCUAACUACGUG
rnacentral:rRNA from 1 species